rnacentral:rRNA from 1 species
UACGUAGGGUGCGAGCGUUAAUCGGAAUUACUGGGCGUAAAGCGUGCGCAGGCGGCGCGUUAAGACAGGUGUGAAAGCCCCGAGCUUAACUUGGGAAUUGCGCUUGUGACUGGCGUGCUGGAGUGUGGCAGAGGGAGGUGGAAUUCCACGUGUAGCAGUGAAAUGCGUAGAGAUGUGGAGGAACACCGAUGGCGAAGGCAGCCUCCUGGGUCAAGAUUGACGCUCAUGCACGAAAGCGUGGGGAGCAAACAGG